CCUCAACAUAUGGCCACAAUCGAGCCCUCAAUUUUUGUUGCUACAUGAGACAUUUGUAAAGAGUGUUUUGCCCCAUUUUAUGACCUCUCUUGGCACAAUUGUUAAAUGAAUCACUGCCAUUGUUAAGUUAGUAACACAGUUGUUAAGCACAUCCAAAAUUUGAUCAUGUGACCAUGGGGAUGUUGCAACAGUCAUAAGUGUGAAAAACACGUCAUUUUUUUUCAGUGAUCUUGUAACUCCAAGUGGUCACCAAAUGAACUGUUGUAAGUCGAGGAGUACCUGUACAUAGGUAUUUUUCAGCAAAUUACUGUGUUAAUGUUUAAGUUUAAGCCCACACAUUUGAAGGACAUAUCCAAGGUAAGAAAGGGGAUAAUAUGUUAAAGGAACAAAGAUGACCAAGCUGUACAAAUGUCACUUUGCAGGAGGAAGUAACACCAAGUGAUAUAACGUGACGCUAAAAUAUAGCCAUCCCCAGA